GCCCGGCUAGCUCAGUUGGUAGGGCCUCUUGAUCUCAGGAUCGUGGGUUUGAGCCCCACGCUGGGUG